GGGUCAAUGGUGAGUACCUUAUAUUGCUUUGAGGAGCAUUGAUGAAUUCAAUAUCAUGUACAAUGGCAUGAUGCUGAGGCCC
rnacentral:snoRNA from 1 species